rnacentral:rRNA from 1 species
AUCGCCUAUAACGGUGUAGUUAAGUGGGAAAAGCUCAACUUUGNCNAUCUGGUACUUUCAGUAUCCGAAUUGUAGUCUCAAGAAGUGUUUCUGUGCCGGUCCAUGGUAUGAGGUCUGUUGGAACACAGCGUCAUAGAGGGUGACAACCCCGUUCAUGACAUGGAUCCCGGUGCUUUGUGAUACACUCUCGAAGAGUCGAGUUGUUUGGGAAUGCAGCUCAAAUUGGGUGGUAAAUUCCAUCUAAAGCUAAAUAUUGGCGAGAGACCGAUAGCAAACAAGUACCGUGAGGGAAAGAUGAAAAGCACUUUGGAAAGAGAGUUAACAGUACGUGAAAUUGUUGAAAGGGAAACGAUUGAAGUCAGACGUGCGUGAUGCGGUUCAGCUUUAGUUCGCUAGAGUGUACUCCGUAUCUUUGCAGGCCAACAUCGGUUUAGUUAGUCGGAUAAAGGUUGAGAAAUGUGGCACCUUCGGGUGUGUUAUAGUCUCAGACUGAAUACGAUUGAUGGGACCGAGGAACGCAGCGCGCCGCAAGGCAAAGGUUCCGACCUUUUCGCGCUUAGGAUGUUGGUGAAAUGGCUUUAAACGACCCGUCUUGAAACA